GGCCACCAAUUUUUGAACUUUGA
rnacentral:siRNA from 1 species